rnacentral:rRNA from 1 species
UAUAUUCUUUCUAAACUAAUAUGCGCCUGAUUAUUAAUAGUUAUAGUCUUCAAAAUCAAAGAAUUUGGCGGUGAUUUAAUCUUAUUAGGGGAACCUGUUUUUUAAACGAUAAACCACGAAAUAUCUUACCUGUUAAUUGUAGCUUGUAUACCGUCAUUAAGAUAACUUUUAAAAAACAAGUUAUUUCAACAAAUAAAUGUUUGUCAUAUUAGAUCAAGGUGCAGCAGAUGAGCAGGCUAAAAUGGGUUACAAUAGGCUUCGCCUACUUUACGGAUGCUUUUACGAAAAUGAAAGUUAAAGGGGGACUUAAAAGUAGAAAAAUAUUUUAAUAAGAUAUUUCGAAUUUAGCACUAAAU